UAGGGUUUGAUCCUGGCUCAGAUUGAACGCUGGCGGCAGGCCUAACACAUGCAAGUCGAGCGGAUGAAGGGAGCUUGCUCCUGGAUUCAGCGGCGGACGGGUGAGUAAUGCCUAGGAAUCUGCCUGGUAGUGGGGGAUAACGUCCGGAAACGGGCGCUAAUACCGCAUACGUCCUGAGGGAGAAAGUGGGGGAUCUUCGGACCUCACGCUAUCAGAUGAGCCUAGGUCGGAUUAGCUAGUUGGUGGGGUAAAGGCCUACCAAGGCGACGAUCCGUAACUGGUCUGAGAGGAUGAUCAGUCACACUGGAACUGAGACACGGUCCAGACUCCUACGGGAGGCAGCAGUGGGGAAUAUUGGACAAUGGGCGAAAGCCUGAUCCAGCCAUGCCGCGUGUGUGAAGAAGGUCUUCGGAUUGUAAAGCACUU
rnacentral:rRNA from 1 species